GAAGGUGUGGGUGCCGCCCUAUCUAUCCUCUCCAGGCACCUCUUGACGUGUAAACUGGUAUCUGCUGGGAGGAAGGCGAGCAAAGGAGGCCCGCAGGAGUCGCCCCGUCCACAACACACUGACCACUUCCUCCUGGACACUUCUCAGGGUCUAAGUCUUGGGCAUCGUUAUUGCCCUAGGGACUCUGUGGUACUCUCAGCUUUGGAAGUGGCCUCCUCAGGGGCUGCCCUGACUUGGCUAGCCAUUGGUCUGGCACUAGGCUAACCCCAGUAACAACCUUAAAGCGAGUAGCAGAUCAGAGAGAGGAGACCUAUGCUAUUGACUGAAGAUGGAGGAAUGGUGCCUGGCGCCAGGGAGUUGGGGCAGCCUCUGGAAGCUGGGAAAAGCAAGGGAACAGAUUGUCCCUUAGAGCCUCCAGAAGUAAUAGCACUGUGGACCCACUUUAAACUUCUGACCUCCAGAAUUGUAAAAUAAUAAAUUUGUGUAGUUUU